rnacentral:rRNA from 1 species
AACGAACGCUGGCGGCAGGCCUAAUACAUGCAAGUCGAACGCUCCAGCAAUGGAGAGUGGCAGACGGGUGAGUAACGCGUGGGAACCUUCCCAGUGGUACGGAAUAGCUCAGGGAAACUUGAGGUAAUACCGUAUACGCCCUUUGGGGGAAAGAUUUAUCGCCAUUGGAUGGGCCCGCGUCGGAUUAGCUAGUUGGUGGGGUAAUGGCCCACCAAGGCGACGAUCCGUAGCUGGUCUGAGAGGAUGAUCAGCCACACUGGGACUGAGACACGGCCCAGACUCCUACGGGAGGCAGCAGUAGGGAAUAUUGGACAAUGGGCGCAAGCCUGAUCCAGCCAUGCCGCGUGAGUGACGAAGGCCUUCGGGUUGUAAAGCUCUUUUGGCGGGGACGAUAAUGACGGUACCCGCAGAAUAAGCUCCGGCUAACUUCGUGCCAGCCGCCGCCGUAAUAC